rnacentral:rRNA from 1 species
UACGGGGGUGGCAAGCGUUGUUCGGAAUUACUGGGCGUAAAGGGCGCGUAGGCGGUCCGACCCGUCGGUGGUGAAAGCCGAGGGCUCAACCCUCGAAGGGCCAUCGAAACAGUCGGACUUGAGUUCCGGAGGGGAAGGCGGAAUUCCGGGUGUAGCGGUGAAAUGCGUAGAUAUCCGGAGGAACACCGGAGGCGAAGGCGGCCUUCUGGACGGCGACUGACGCUGAGGCGCGAAAGCCAGGGGAGCAAACGGG